CCUUCGCAAGAACUGAUUGCACCAUAGCUUAUAUGCCUUCUACUAGGACCUCUUUAAGAAUCCUUCCUCAAAAGAUCUUGUUGCUAAAAAAUGGAGCCCAAGAGGGGGGUGAAUUGGAUCUUUUUGAAAUUUUAAAAGAUUAGUGCACUAAAGCAAUGUGUAAAAGAGAUUGAGUGAAAUGGGUUGAUAUUCAAUAAAAAUAAAUUCAAAUAUAAAAGAAAGAAUACAAGUAAAUGGCAUAA
rnacentral:lncRNA from 1 species